rnacentral:lncRNA from 1 species
AGAGUUCUCCCAACUUAUAUAUACAAAGCUCUGGAAACAAGGUGCAAUACAAACAUUCUGCCCAUAAUUUUCGCAAGCUAAAAGUUGCAUCUACCAGCUCAAAAACAAGUCGCCGACCAGCACUUUCCUACAGAAGUAUUUACAGAAUAUUAAGACCCUCAAAACCACCAUGAGAACCGCAAAGGUAGUAAAGGAAAACAAAACCUCCAUAAAUAAAACUUGCCCUAUAACAGGAUACACGCCCUGUUAAUGCAUAAAGUCGAGACAGAUUACAAGCAGAAGCAAAUUCAAAGAAGCUGAAGUCUAGCUUCUUGCCCAAGAGAUUUCAUGUCUCGAUCUGGUUACUAGAAGACCAGUUCACACUGGUGGGUACAACACCUCCCUGCAUAGCCAUUCUCUCAGAUACAUCAGCUAGUGAUUUCAG